AUACAACACACACACACACCAAUUAAAAACCAGAUAUGGGCUUUUUGGGUAUGGUCAAAAUUACUUUAUCAAUCUUAAUGAUUAUUUUUAUCAUGCAGUUAGCUUUUUAUAAUCUUGAAGUUCCUGAUGGGAGGGUCAAAAUGUCUUUACCAUAUAGGCUGGCGGGAGCCCAAAGGCCACCACCACCUCCAGCUGCCGCCCUGGCCCCAGAGAUGCGAUGAUAUAAAAUAUUCUAUUGUAAUUUGCAAAAAUGUAUCACAUUUGUAUUUCCUCAUUCUAUAUAUCAUGGUGCGUGAUGAAUAAAAGACCUUGUGCAAAAAUUUAAGUGAAAA